AUUCUUACGCAUUUGGGUUUUGGAUAUUAAAUAAAUACUUGUUAUAACAUAUGCUGCUUUGUCGCCCCCCAUAGUCACUGUCCAUCAAAUGGAAUCUGCUAUUUGCCUACGCCAUUGCCCCUUUCCCUAUGGUUCCAAAGGAUUUCAAGGUGCAAGGCCUAGCAGAUUUCAUCAUCUUAAGAUUAACCAUGCCACCCCUCUUUCUCUCCCUCAAAUUUUCACCACCAGAAGCUCGGUUACACGUUCAUUUGGGCAUGUAAAUUGCAUGCUCGAAAGAUUCAUCUCUAUGCCCUCCGAGAAUGAGGGAAGUGGCAACAGAAUUUUGAGAGGAGUGGCAGCAGCUUCUCUGGUUCUGACAUGUGUUCUUGGAUUAUUUAGUUUUAGUGGCAAGAAUAUGAAUCCUAAACUCACUACAGCUUAUGGUAAUGGAUUAGAAUUUCCUAUUUCUAAGCCUCAAGGAAGGUUUGCUCUCAAGUCACUGUUGGAAAUACCGAAAGACGAAGAACUCGCAGAUACUCAGAAUAAGAUGCGUUCCAACUUUAGUGUGCGAGGACCUAGCCAGCAAGAAGUUAAAAACCUUAAGUGGCUCGCUAUUGGUCUAAGCAGCCAAUCUCCGGAUAGAAGACGUGAAGCACAGAAAACACUGGAAGAGCAAUACAACUGCGAGAGCGGAGAGCCAGAACAGAACCUGGAACUGGCCAUGGUAGAACUUCUCAUGUUUCAGGGAGAAUUUGAUAAAGCCCGUGAUCGGCUUGACGACAUAAUUCGUAAAAUUUCAAAAGUGUUUCAUGUCUGCCCAGCCUCUAAAUCCUUUUCAUUCUGGUGGGAGAAAGCAACCUAGCGGGAUGUCAAAACUUUACAAGACUGCCGUACAGGAAAAUAAUAUGUAUGAGAAAUUGCGGCUAGCUCGACUUAUACUUUACAAGGCCAUUGUACACACCGUGUUGGGCUCGGAACAGAAGGAAAGAGAGCAAUGGUGGAAUGCAUUCAUGGAAACAUGUAGGAAAUGAUGGGCUUAUUUCCAGCAAUGUGUCUGUGGGGUUUUCAAAUUACGAUUCAUUUACUUCCCAAACGAAUAAUGUGCCCAAAAAUAGUUUGUUUCAGUUGAAGAAUUUUUCAAAAUUAAUUUCGUGCAGGCCCUUUUUCUUUUGUAUAUCUUACAAUUAUUCAAAAUCUUAAACAAUUGAUGUCCAAUUUAAUA